UACGAAGGGGGCUAGCGUUGCUCGGAAUUACUGGGCGUAAAGCGCACGUAGGUGGCUAAUUAAGUCGGUUGUGAAAUCCCUGGGCUUAACCUGGGAACUGCAGUCGAUACUGAUCAGCUAGAGUAUGGUAGAGGGAAGUGGAAUUUCCGGUGUAGCGGUGAAAUGCGUAGAUAUCGGAAGGAACACCAGUGGCGAAGGCGACUUUCUGGACCAAUACUGACACUGAGGUGCGAAAGCGUGGGUAGCGAACAGG
rnacentral:rRNA from 1 species